rnacentral:rRNA from 1 species
AUACGGAGGGUGCAAGCGUUAAUCGGAAUUACUGGGCGUAAAGCGCGCGUAGGCGGUUUAGUCAGUCAGAUGUGAAAGCCCCGGGCUCAACCUGGGAACUGCAUUUGAUACUGCUGAACUAGAGUAUGGUAGAGGGAAGUGGAAUUCCGGGUGUAGCGGUGAAAUGCGUAGAUAUCCGGAGGAACACCAGUGGCGAAGGCGACUUCCUGGACCAAUACUGACGCUGAGGCGCGAAAGCGUGGGGAGCAAACAGGAUUAGAAACCCUGGUAGUCC